CUUGUUGGUGAGGUAACGGCUCACCAAGGCUUCGAUCCGUAGCUGGUCUGAGAGGAUGAUCAGCCACACUGGGACUGAGACACGGCCCAGACUCCUACGGGAGGCAGCAGUGGGGAAUAUUGGACAAUGGGGGCAACCCUGAUCCAGCCAUGCCGCGUGCGUGAAGAAGGCCUUAGGGUUGUAAAGCGCUUUCGGCGGGGAAGAUGAUGACGGUACCCGCAGAAGAAGCUCCGGCUAACUCCGUGCCAGCAGCCGCGGUAAUACGGAGGGGGCUAGCGUUGUUCGGAAUUACUGGGCGUAAAGGGCGCGUAGGCGGAUUGUCAAGUCAGAGGUGAAAGCCCUGGGCUCAACCUGGGAACUGCCUUUGAAACUAACGGUCUAGAGUCCGAGAGAGGAUGGCGGAAUUCCCAGUGUAGAGGUGAAAUUCGUAGAUAUUGGGAAGAACACCAGUGGCGAAGGCGGCCAUCUGGCUCGGUACUGACGCUGAG
rnacentral:rRNA from 1 species